GGCUCAAUGGUCUAGUCGUAUGAUUCUCGCUUCGGGCCACCGAAGUCCCUACGCUUCCAAGCGCAGAUGCGAGAGGUCCCGGGUUCAAUUCCCGGUUGAGCCC